rnacentral:rRNA from 1 species
AUUGAACGCUGGCGGAAUGCUUUACACAUGCAAGUCGAACGGCAGCACGGGGGCAACCCUGGUGGCGAGUGGCGAACGGGUGAGUAAUACAUCGGAACGUGCCCAGUCGUGGGGGAUAACGUAGCGAAAGCUACGCUAAUACCGCAUACGAACUCAGGUUGAAAGCGGGGGAUCGCAAGACCUCGCGCGAUUGGAGCGGCCGAUGGCAGAUUAGGUAGUUGGUGGGGUAAAGGCCUACCAAGCCGACGAUCUGUAGCUGGUCUGAGAGGACGACCAGCCACACGGGGACUGAGACACGGCCCAGACUCCUACGGGGGGCAGCAGUGGGGAAUUUUGGACAAUGGGCGCAAGCCUGAUCCAGCAAUGCCGCGUGCAGGAUGAAGGCCUUCGGGUUGUAAACUGCUUUUGUACGGGGCGAAAAGGCUCUCUCUAAUACAGGGGGCUCAUGACGGUACCGUAAGAAUAAGCACCGGCUAACUACGUGCCAGCCGCCGCCGUAACAC